UGAACGAUACUGGGAAAAUAGGUGUUUGUACGCUGCAGUAAGCGAGGAAGAAACUAGACUGUUCACGUCUCUGGGAGAAAAAUGUUACACUUGGUCCAUACCUCUGUGUUUGUGGGGAACAGAUCUAAUCUAAUCUGCUGAUAGCCAUGACUCCCGGAGUCCUGCGCACUUCUCCACUUGUAGCCUGCCUGGUGGUCCCUUCCUGCGCUCCUGGGGCGAAAACUGGCUCGCAGAUUACUCUGAGGGCAGCCUAGUUCAGAAGCUAUGCAGAUUCACCCCAAGCCGGUGGCUUCUGCUCUGUUUCCAUUCUCACUACCUCCGACUCAGAUCUCACUUCCUACUGCCUCAAGGCUGCUCCCGGGACUCAGUUAACUAUAGACCUGGCUCUCUGGAACUUCUUGAACAGUAAUCUGAGCCCAAAUGCAAAGAAGUCAGGAGUCUCACCAGCCGCUACUCAAUGCACAAAAAUCUACGCUAACGAAUGUCACAGACACUUUCCGAUAGCUCACCUGGUAGAGCG
rnacentral:lncRNA from 1 species